CAGGGCUUCUAUUCGCUGUUGUAGAAACAAUCUGAAACUGUAGGCUGUGUUCAAGCAAGCUGAGGCAGCUUACUCCUAGUGGCUAUCAUGGCAGUGGUAUAACCAUUUUGGAUUUUCUUCCUGGCAUCUGUAACCAAUAGCUGCAAGCCAAGGAUCCAAUCGACUCUUCUUGGAGAAUCUCGGGCUUUGGAGCAAGGAAAGAGUCAAGUUCACUGAAUCGGGUGCUGCAUUCACUCACACAAUGUAAAAGCCGAAGAACAGCCCUGAAUCACAGCGGGAUGUGGAGCUCCUGAUGACCUCAGAGUUUGUAUUACUCUGUUCUCAUUUCAUUUCGCCCUCCUUCCCAAGCAUCCUUUCCUGACGGGAGCCUCGAGCCAGAUGGUACCCAAGAAGCUCCUGACUUAGACUUGCCACUUAAGGCCAAAAGGGUGCCAGACACUGGGGUGGCCACCAAGGACAGAACUGUGGAGCUAAGAAAUCUAGUCAGAUGUUAUCAUCAUGAAGGCUGCUCACUUCAACAAAACAUGCUGAAACAAUUGUCACUUGGUUCGAAGGGUAGAGAAGAAACCAAGAAAAUAACGGGAAGCUCUGAGGAGGACAAGGCUUCACAGAGGUGACUCAGGGUCCCCAGGGACAAAUAGAAGUUGGCUAGCCUCAUAGAAUCACAACAGAAACCCUGGUCUUGUACCAAGGGCCCCAUAGCAAUCCAGUGUCUAAAACUUACCACAGCUCUGUGAGGUAAUAUUUGUCUUCAGAUACUGGAGCUAGAGUGCAGAGACAGAGCACUCUGGCCCAAGGAAACUGUGUGGGGGAAAAAAAGACACACCACUGAGUAUAGAAGGCAUUCACUAGGGAGGGAGGAGAGGGAGGUGUCAGGGAUGGGUGAGGAGUGGAAGAAACAAGAGGCACUUAACUAGCAACAUUCUGUGGAACCUAGAGAGAUGGCUCAGUCUUCCAGAGGACCUGAGUGCAGUUCCUAGCACCCUUCUCCCAUAACCGCAGCUCCAAAGGGUGCCUUGUGACCUCCUGCACCUGUAUGCAUGUAACAUCCCCGACACACAUAUUAAACAUUGAAAAUAAUUUUUUAAAGUAAAACAAAGCAUACUGUAUCCCUCAGGGAAAAUAGAGUCCCUUCCAACUUCCCACUCCCCACUGUGUCAUCUCCCCACUCUGCAGGUCCUGGGGUCACCCACAAGACUCACCAGUAGGACCUCCUAUUCUCCCCGCCCCAUAGGUAGACAACUUGCCAAACUAAGGGUUGUCGCUUCCCUGCAGGAAGGAGGAGAUGACUUCCAAGUCCCCUUCCCUUCACCUCAGAAAACCCGAGGACAGAAAGAGACCCUACAGCUGGACCUCCUCCUUCGGGGUGGGGAUGGGGGAGACAGAACUCUGCUCUGACAUCUGUGGCCAUGGAGGGGGAAGUCCUUGUCUGCCUGGCUUCUGCUUUCUUAAAUAAUGACUAUUUGUGUCUUUUUCCCCUCAACAGUCCUCCUUACACACACACACACACACACACACACACACACACACACACAGAGAGAGAGAGAGAGAGAGAAAGAGAGAGAGAGAGAGAGAGAGAGGGAGGGAGGGAGGGAGGGAGAGAGAGAGAGAGAGAGAGAGAGAGAGAGAGAGCAGCUAGUGUCCACUCCAAACAUAGAUGACAAGAGGUCUCAGCAAAGCAGCCUAAAGAGACACUGAACAAACUGUUUCCUGGACAGGCUUGUCAUCGUGACCCUUGUAAGCCAAGAGCUCACUGUAUAACUUGGGAAUGUACAAAUAUUUACAGUUGUAGGGAAGGGAGCCAACAUCUGCUAGAGGGUCCCAGCAUGGGAAAGGAGCUGAGGUCUACCUAGCCAGUCGUCCUCACCAUUCCAAUGCCCUCACAGGAUCCCCUUCCCUGUCACCAGUCACCCUGUCUCUCUGCCCCUAGCUUUGAGUCUCUGCAGCCUCAGAGCAGUGGAUGUUCUUUCUCACAACAACCUUGGAAAGCCUCUGCCUCUGCUGUUCUUGGGCCCCUUGCCUCUGCAGGCGUCUUCCCUUGAUAUGCAGCCUAGCUGGUCACUGUCCAUCUCAAACAAUGACUUGCAAACCAGUUCCCAUUCUACAGCCGAGCGGCUUGUCAUGCUCCGACCCCUGUGCCCAUCAUUCCUGGUCUCUGAGACACAGCUUGCUCUCCAUGCAGAGUGAGAGGGUGGGAACAAACCUGUCCACGAUGCCUGAGCACUGUUCUAGCUCUCUGAAACCAGCAGGUUCAGAACAACCCCAGGGAGAGGACAUUCUUCUCCGAAAUUGAUUUGGGAACUUGAUCUUCUGGCCUAGAGUUGAACAGAAAUAAAAGCAGGUGGGUCUCUGGU